GAUGAACGCUGGCGGCGUGCCUAAUACAUGCAAGUCGAGCGAAGAGGGGGCGGGUGAGUAACACGUGGAUAACCUCCUAUAAGACUGGGAUAACUUCGGGGAACCGGUGCUAAACCGGCUACUUAUCGAUGGAUGCGCACUGCAUUAGCUAGUUGGUAGGGUAACGGCUUACCAAGGCAACGAUGCAUAGCCGAUCUGAGAGGGUGACCGGCCACACUGGAACUGAGACACGGUCCAGACUCCUACGGGAGGCAGCAGUAGGGAAUAUUGCGCAAUGGGCGAAAGCCUGACGGAGCAACGCCGCGUGAGUGAUGAAGGUCUUCGGAUUGUAAAGCUCUGUUAGUAGGGAGGCGUUACCUAAUCAGAAAGCAACGGCUAACUACGUGCCAGCAGCCGCGGUAAUUC
rnacentral:rRNA from 1 species